AGUGAACGCUGGCGGUAGGCCUAACACAUGCAAGUCGAACGGCAGCACAGGAGAGCUUGCUCUCUGGGUGGCGAGUGGCGGACGGGUGAGGAAUACAUCGGAAUCUACUCUGUCGUGGGGGAUAACGUAGGGAAACUUACGCUGAUACCGCAUACGACCUACGGGUGAAAGCAGGGGAUCUUCGGACCUUGCGCGAUUGAAUGAGCCGAUGUCGGAUUAGCUAGUUGGCGGGGUAAAGGCCCACCAAGGCGACGAUCCGUAGCUGGUCUGAGAGGAUGAUCAGCCACACUGGAACUGAGACACGGUCCAGACUCCUACGGGAGGCAGCAGUGGGGAAUAUUGGACAAUGGGCGCAAGCCUGAUCCAGCCAUACCUCGUGGGUGAAGAAGGCCUUCGGGUUGUAAAGCCCUUUUGUUGGGAAAGAAAUCCAGCUGGCUAAUACCCGGUUGGGAUGACGGUACCCAAAGAAUAAGCACCGGCUAACUUCGUGCCAGCCGCCGCCGUAA
rnacentral:rRNA from 1 species